rnacentral:rRNA from 1 species
UACGUAGGGUGCAAGCGUUGUCCGGAAUUAUUGGGCGUAAAGAGCUCGUAGGCGGUUUGUCGCGUCUGCCGUGAAAGUCCGGGGCUCAACUCCGGAUCUGCGGUGGGUACGGGCAGACUAGAGUGAUGUAGGGGAGACUGGAAUUCCUGGUGUAGCGGUGAAAUGCGCAGAUAUCAGGAGGAACACCGGUGGCGAAGGCGGGUCUCUGGGCAACAACUGACGCUGGAGGAGCGAAAGCCAGGGGAGCGAACGGG